rnacentral:rRNA from 1 species
GAGUUUGAUCGUGGCUCAGAUUGAACGCUGGCGGCAUGCCUUACACAUGCAAGUCGAACGGCAGCACGGGAGCUUGCUCCUGGUGGCGAGUGGCGAACGGGUGAGUAAUGCAUCGGAACGCAUCCUGGAGUGGGGGAUAACGUAGCGAAAGUUACGCUAAUACCGCAUAUUCUGUGAGCAGGAAAGCGGGGGACCUUCGGGCCUCGCGCUCUUGGAGCGGCCGAUGUCGGAUUAGCUAGUUGGUGAGGUAAAGGCUCACCAAGGCGACGAUCCGUAGCAGGUCUGAGAGGAUGAUCUGCCACACUGGAACUGAGACACGGUCCAGACUCCUACGGGAGGCAGCAGUGGGGAAUUUUGGACAAUGGGGGCAACCCUGAUCCAGCCAUGCCGCGUGAGUGAAGAAGGCCUCGGUU